UUGUAUGGAUGAGCAAAGAAAGUAGUUUCCUGAGAUGGAAUCUACUUGUGUGAAAAUGCUGUGAA
rnacentral:pre_miRNA from 1 species